UAGAGGGACAGGACAAGUAGAACUAGAGGGACAGGACAGGUAUGACUACAGGGACAGGACAGGACAGGUAUGACUACAGGGACAGGACAGGUAGGACUAGAGGGACAGGACAGGUAUGACUACAGGGACAGGACAGGUAGGACUAGAGGGACAGGACAGGUAUGACUACAGGGACAGGACAGGACAGGUAUGACUACAGGGACAGGACAGGUAGGACUAGAGGGACAGGACAGGUAGGACUAGAAGGACAGGACAGGUAGGACUACAGGGACAGGACAGGACAGGUAUGACUACAGGGACAGGACAGGUAGGACUAGAGGGACAGGUAUGACUAGAGGACAGGACAGGAGAGGACAGGACAGAUAGGACUACUUCUACUUAAGUUUAUUGAGUACGGUU